rnacentral:rRNA from 1 species
GAUCCUGGCUCAGGAUGAACGCUGGCGGCGUGCUUAACACAUGCAAGUCGAACGAAGCACUUAAGAUUGAUUCUUCGGAUGAUUUCUUUUGUGACUUAGUGGCGGACGGGUGAGUAACGCGUGGGUAACCUGCCUUACACAGGGGGAUAACAGUUAGAAAUGACUGCUAAUACCGCAUAACCCGAUAGGAUCGCAUGAUCCAGACGGAAAAGAUUUAUCGGUGUGAGAUGGACCCGCGU